rnacentral:tRNA from 1 species
GGGGCUGUAGCUUAGUGGCAGAGCACUUGCCUCACAUGCAUGAGGCACUAGGUUUGAUCCUCAGCACCA